rnacentral:rRNA from 1 species
UACGAAGGGGGCUAGCGUUGCUCGGAAUUACUGGGCGUAAGGCGCACGUAGGCGGACUCUUAAGUCGGUGGUGAAAUCCUGGAGCUCAACUCCAGAACUGCCUUCGAUACUGGGAGUCUUGAGUUCGGGAGAGGUGAGUGGAACUGCGAGUGUAGAGGUGAAAUUCGUAGAUAUUCGCAAGAACACCAGUGGCGAAGGCGGCCCACUGGCCUGAUACUGACGCUGAGGUGGGAAAGCGUGGGGAGCAAACAGG